rnacentral:piRNA from 1 species
UCGAGUGCCUUGAUCCUUGACAGAAUC